UGCAGUCGAGCGCAGGAAGCAAGUUGAUCCCCUUCGGGGGUGACGCUUGUGGAAUGAGCGGCGGACGGGUGAGUAACACGUGGGCAACCUGCCUGUAAGACUGGGAUAACCCCGGGAAACCGGGGCUAAUACCGGAUAAUACUUUCUUUUGCAUAAAGGAAAGUUGAAAGGCGGCUUCGGCUGUCACUUACAGAUGGGCCCGCGGCGCAUUAGCUAGUUGGUGAGGUAACGGCUCACCAAGGCGACGAUGCGUAGCCGACCUGAGAGGGUGAUCGGCCACACUGGGACUGAGACACGGCCCAGACUCCUACGGGAGGCAGCAGUAGGGAAUCUUCCGCAAUGGACGAAAGUCUGACGGAGCAACGCCGCGUGAGUGAUGAAGGUUUUCGGAUCGUAAAACUCUGUUGUUAGGGAAGAACAAGUACGAUAGUAACUGAUCGUACCUUGACGGUACCUAACCAGAAAGCCACGGCUAACUACGUGCCAGCAGCCGCGGUAAUACGUAGGUGGCAAGCGUUGUCCGGAAUUAUUGGGCGUAAAGCGCUCGCAGGCGGUCCUUUAAGUCUGAUGUGAAAUCUCGCGGCUCAACCGCGAACGGUCAUUGGAAACUGGAGGACUUGAGUACAGAAGAGGAGAGUGGAAUUCCACGUGUAGCGGUGAAAUGCGUAGAGAUGUGGAGGAACACCAGUGGCGAAGGCGACUCUCUGGUCUGUAACUGACGCUGANGAGCGAAAGCGUGGGGAGCGAACAGGAUUAGAUACCCUGGUAGUCCACGCCGUAAACGAUGAGUGCUAGGUGUUAGGGGGUUUCCGCCCCUUA
rnacentral:rRNA from 1 species